UCGAGAAUCUUCGGCAAUGGACGCAAGUCUGACCGAGCGACGCCGCGUGUGGGAUGAAGGCCUUCGGGUUGUAAACCACUGUCGUAGAGGAGGAAAUUGAUUGGGGUUCUCUCCAGUCAUUGACCUAUUCUAGGAGGAAGGACGGGCUAAGUACGUGCCAGCAGCCGCGGUAAUACGUACCGUCCAAACGUUAUUCGGAAUUACUGGGCUUAAAGGGUUUGUAGGCGGCGCUGUUAGUCGGGUGUGAAAUCCCACGGCUCAACCGUGGAACUGCGCCCGAUACUGCAGUGCUUGAGGGAGACAGAGGUAAGCGGAACUGAUGGUGGAGCGGUGAAAUGCGUUGAUAUCAUCAGGAACACCGGUGGCGAAAGCGGCUUACUGGGUCUCUUCUGACGCUGAGAAACGAAAGCUAGGGUAGCGAAGGGGAUUAGAUACCCCCGUAGUCC
rnacentral:rRNA from 1 species